GCCCCUGUAGCUUAAUGGAUAAAGCUCCUUUCUGACUCAAAGGGUGAUGCUGGUUCGAAUCCUGCCAGGGGCA
rnacentral:tRNA from 1 species